rnacentral:lncRNA from 1 species
AACUUGGCCACAGGCUUGGAAAGUGAUGUACGGUAGUGGUGAGCUCAGAGCACAGUGGCUAAGCCAUCAGCAAACAUGCUCCCGGCAGGGGGAGCUGGGAGGGGUUUAUGUCCACGGCCACUACAGGCAGAUUAUGACAGCGUAUGUACAGACUCACUAUGCUUACAUCAAGCACAACAUCUGACCACCACUGUCAACAGGAAGAUGUUAUUAUUAUGGAAAAAAUACCAAAAGAAUAUCAAUCAUGGAGCAUGCUCAUUAGUUUUUCCUGGAGGGUUUUGUACAGAUUCAGGGAGGUUGUCUGGGGUGAGCAGAACCUUACAGAAGAGCUAAACUUUCUUCAAGGGAUUAACUGCCUUGGAAGAUAAGGUCAAGGACAGGCUUGACCCCCACAGGCUCUCUGAGCAAAGACCUUGAGCAGAGUCUUAAUUGGUGGAGGAUUAUAACAUCCCCCCACCCCCCCACCGCAGGCUGCUCCUAUUUCAAGCCAGGGCACCACGGGGGCUGGGGGACACUCUCUGGAUCCGGGCUGCCCCACCAACCUCCCCCAUGAUUUUGCUCAGAAGCAAAUGCACGCUAUUCAUUCAGUGUCUUCACAACAAGGAAGAUGAAUCGCCAUACGUAUGGUCACCUCUUUCACGCGACACAUGCAUUUAAGAGAGUUAUAAGUAAAUCACACCAGCAUGGGGAGCCGGCAGAGGCCCCCCUCCCUUAACAAUCAGCUUUAAGACAAAACUAAAUCUGAAGGAAGCGCUGUGGGAAGAAGACAAACUCACCGUGAUCCCCGAGGUUCACUAGCUGAAUGCUGAGCGUAGGAGUUGUGCACCGACAAGACGACACAGCUUGCUGCUCCUGCCUCUCGUCUGCUUCAUCCCCCCCACAGGUUGCAGAGCCUCAACAGCCUAAGAAACCCCUUAAUGAUGCCUCCUUCCCCUCGAAUCUUCUGUUUCAUCCUGGAAGUCUUCCUGGGCACCCCCUACCUCCACGCUGGGUGAGGCCCCUGCCCAUCAGCCCAUCUCCAUCCUGGCACUUAGAUUCUUGGGAUCUGCCUUUCUGCUCUUAGAGUGUGAGCUCCUGGAAGAAAGUGUUUGUGUCAUGGUCAGUUUGGAGCAGCUGGCAUCUUACACCAGCAGGCCUGGCUCAUGGCUACCCUAUGUGGUAGCUUCUAGAAUCAAUGAAGCGCCAUAAUAAAUAAUGCACUUGUGAUGGGAGCAGGGAUAGGAAGUAAUGGCAGGAGAGGAAGUCCUUUAAGGAGAUUUUAGAUGGGGCUUCACAAUCCCUAGGCCAUGAAAGGGAAUAAGAAAAAGCUGAAGUGAUGAAAUGAACAUCACUGCACAGAGGGUAAAAGUAGAGAAGCACCUGGGAGGAGCUGGAGUGACAGCACUGCUGGGGUUCAAUUAGCCUUUGCUAAUGAACUUUCAGUACUGACCUCUUCACCUGGCAUGCCGAUAAGACCCUCCUGUGCCCAGAACACCUGCUAGCAUGUCUCUCUAAAAUCAGGGAGUUUGCUGCAAACCCUCCACUCCAAGGAGAGAAAUGACAAUGUGUGCACACUAGCCCAUAAAUCUUGUGUGGAGACUAUGCCACUAGCAAAAAUUUACACAUGGGUCUGAAGACUAGCACUUGAAUGGUUUUCAUUUUCAAGACUCAUUUCACCCACAUUGCCCAAUUUGGGAGUAAACUAUGGAGGAGAACUUGAAAUUCACAUACAAAGUUUGAGUCCUUCCUGGGUUGCUCUUCAUCCCUACCCAGAUAAAGAUGCCCUAGAACAUAUGCAAUAAUGCCCAUGAAUGGGAACAUAGAGCAGAGGGCACGACAUGGGAAACUGUCUAAUUCGGGGUCCUCAGAUUCAUUCAUUCCAAGGAUGAGGAAACUCGAGCCUAGAAAUUCCUUGAUUUGCCAAAGGCUUACAGAUGGCAAGAGAUGGCUGGCAUGGGGGAGGGGCUUAGGAGUCAACACCUGCAGGGGAUUGAACGGUCCUCCUAGAAAACAUCUUCAGGCCCUAACCCUGGUACCUGCGAAUGUGACCUUGUUUGGAAAGAUGGUCUUUGCAGAUGUAAUGAGUUAAAGUGAGGCCAUGCUCAAAUGGGGUGGGAUCUGAUGCUGAGACUGCUGUCCUCACAAGAGGAGAAAAGUGUGGACACAGGGGCACACAGAGAAGCCACCAUGUGGGGAGGGAGGCAGAUGUUAGAGUUAUGCCACCAAGGAUUUCUGGCAGCCACCGCGAAGGAAGCAUGGAACAGACGCUCCCUCUGUUCAGAGCCCCCCAGGAAGGAACCAGCUCUGCCAACACCUCAAUUUCAAACUUCUAGUCUCCUGAGCUGUGGGUGAAUAAAUUUCUGCUGUGUUAGCCAUGCAGUGUGUGAUACCUGGUUAUAGGCGCUAUGGGAAACUAUACCAACACAGAGCACAUUUUUUGCCUUCAUGAGUUUCCAGAACUAGAACCUAAAGAUAGAAAACUUACUUCUAAUCCAGGGCUCUUUCUAUCACCUCAAAGAGGAGGAGGAAAAUGCGAUCACUUUUGACCCCAGCUCUGAUGAGCACACAGAUUUAAAACAGGAAACUGUCUCUCCCUCAGGUGCAAGCUUGCAGGACUAGGAUAAGCUGAUGUGUUGCUUAAGGAUUCGAGCAAUGCUGUCAACGGAUGCAGAGUCUAGAAGCCAAGACACAGUGGUCGCCCCAGCAAAGAACUAAGAAAGAUAUAUGCUUUCCUAAUUUCCCAACCCAAAUGAUAAGUAGUCCCAGUGGAUGCUCUGAUUCUAUGAAUUUCCAAUGUUACUUGGGGGUCACGUGACUUGCUACACAUCCACUCUUGAAACUGGCGAAAUACACAGGGUGUUCCAAGAAUAUCAGUGUCCAGGCUGCCAAGACGCUUCUCAAUGGAGUUUGCAAUCGCUGAGGUUUGAGAUCACUGUCCUGCCCUUAUCAGAUCCUCACUGCCACCCAAGCAGUUCCAACACCCCGGAGCUAGAGGACGCUGGGAGGGGACCCUGACCCCUCUUCCCCAGCCUUGCUUGGGGUUUUCCCUGAACGUGAGGCAUCAGAGAGAAACCCUCGGCAGUGUUUCACACCUCCUAACGUUUUGGGUCCCAGUUCAUUUUUUAUCUCACGACUGUUCGGGAUGCUCCAACAUGUGUAAGGGUUUGUUCGGGCUGUUGGGGUUCUUUUGUGAAACUGUCAAAGCAAUGACCUCAUUUGGAGCCCUUUGCUGGCAGGCGGGAUUGGCACGCGGCUCGCCUCUGACGUGUGUCUCCCGAACCAUCGAUUCAAGGUGGUGCUCCGCGCAUGCGUCGCUCAGCGACCUGGAAGCAGAUAACGGAUUGCUCCAUCCUGUCCUCAAGUUACCACACACGGCAGUGUUCAGGCAGCCUCCACCAAAGGCCGCCUGCCAGGCAGGGCAAAGGGACGUCACCACCCGCGGACCCUAAAACUCGACCUCCCAGGUCGCCUGGAGUGGGCGUGCUCCCCCCACGUGUCUCCGCCCGAACAUUAACUUGUGAAACAAAAGGAACAUGAUGACCCUGAGAGAACUGCUGUCUUUGGAGCAGAAAGCAUGCGGGUACCAUCCACAUGUGCUCGCCAAGAGCACGGGAUGACCUUGACCUGACGGCGAGGCAGCUGAACCAGGCUCCACCCAACCCCCACCCCGCCCCCAGUAAUAGCAGAGUCCGUGGGAAAGGAUCCCUCUGGACAUAAUUCCGAUUCAGUCUGGGAUUAUCUGGAGAGAAUGAACUGGGACAUUCUACAAUGGUACCGAGCCCAUAGCUAUUCUGGAAUUGGGACCCGGGUGCUGAGUCCAGCGUUUUUUCACCGCCCAUGUGGUUGGAGAGCAGGUGUGUUUUCACAGCUCAGGGAAAGAAGAUGCCUCUCUUUUAGCACACAUACCCCCUCCAUUUCUCUACGAAAGACAAGAAACGUAAGAAAUAUGCAGGAAAAGUAUUUUUCUGUUAUCGCCAAAUUGGUUUCCUGAGGGGGCUCGUUGGACAAGCUCAGCAGAACGGUGCAGUUUCAGAACUCCCUGUGCACUCCAGCUCUGCUGAGAGGUGACACUUCUCUCAGAUUUCCUGUUGUUUACAAUACCGUGACAGUGACCCGUGUAGGGGCCAGGGGUGGGGUGAGGCUCUUCUUACACCAGAAACCAGGCGAGUAGAUACUCCCCACGAAUCUGAGCGCUUCCAGACUAUUCCAGCAGGCAUUACUGUCUGUUGUGUGCCUGGCCGGUGAUGAUUGCCAAAUGAGGUAUAAUUGCUUGAAACUUGGGUCAAGUGGGGAGUGGUGACUUGCAAGUAGGUCUCUGUGGCAUUGUCAGCACAGAUCAAAAUAAAAGCAGGCUAGCAUCCACAUACAGAGGAUGCAGCACGGAAGAAGGUGGAAGGGCUAAGAGGGGCCACAGGAAACAGGGACAGAGGGGAGAUAUAUCUACCUGGCUACCUGCCUGGAGGCAUCGCUCCCAAACUAGCCAGGGUCAUGCUGAGACCACGAAGCAGUGAGUUUUGAAUAAUCUUUCUUCAGCAUGCCCCUGACCCCCACCUGCAAAGCAAAGCUUCUGAUGAUGACCAAUGAUGGUAUCUUUGGCAGGGUGGGCAGGGAUUGUAAGAGAAUAAUGAAUACACUUAUUCCUCCACAUCUACCACCCCGCCCCCCUAGAAGGGUUGUAGAGAGAAGGACCCCACCUGCAGUGAAACUUCAAGAAAUGUUCAUUCCAGGGAGUUCCCAUCGUGGCUCAGCGGGUUAAGAAUCUGACAAGAAUCCAUGAGGAUGUGGGUUUGAUCCUUGGUCUAGCUCAGUGAGUUAAGGAUCUGGCAUUGCUGUGAGCCGUGGUGCAGGUCUCAGAUGUGGCUCAGAUCUGGCAUUGCUGUGGCUGUAGCAUAGGCUGGCAACUGCAGCUUG